rnacentral:tRNA from 1 species
GUCGCGCAGCGGUCGCCAGUUGCGGGUCAAAGGUCUGCAAAACCUUUAUUCGUCGGUUCAAUUCCGACCCGCGCCUCCA